GCCUGGGUGGCUCAGUCGGUUAAGUGUCUGACUUCGGCUCAGGUCGUGAUCUCGCGGUUCGUGAGUUCGAGCCCCACCUCAGGCU
rnacentral:tRNA from 1 species